GAUGAACGCUAGCUACAGGCUUAACACAUGCAAGUCGCAGGGUAACAUGAGGAAAGCUUGCUUUCCUUGAUGACGACUGGCGCACGGGUGAGUAACGCGUAUCCAACCUUCCCAUAACUACGGGAUAACCCGUUGAAAGACGGCCUAAUACCGUAUGAUAUCGUUUGCUGACAUCAAAUAACGAUUAAAGGUUUAGCGGUUAUGGAUGGGGAUGCGUCUGAUUAGCUUGUUGGCGGGGUAACGGCCCACCAAGGCGACGAUCAGUAGGGGUUCUGAGAGGAAGGCCCCCCACAUGGGACCGGAGCCCCGGCCAACCCCCCUAGGGGCGGCAGCGGUGAGGAAUAUUGAUCAGGGGGCGAGGGCCUGACCCAGCAAAGUGGGUGGAAGGACGCCGCCCUUAUGGGUUUAAACCUUUUUUUGUGGGGGAAUAAGGUGCGGGACGUGUCAUGCAUGCAGGUUACCCAAUAAAUAAGGACCGGCUAAUUCCGUG
rnacentral:rRNA from 1 species